rnacentral:lncRNA from 1 species
CCGAGCUACUUGAAUUUUUAAUGCAGUGACGGAAGGCUACUGGGUACAGUCAAGUACUUGCAAAUCUGUGUGUAGAUCAAGAUAGGAUUGACCCCUACAGAUUAUUGGAGUUGAUGUAUCAUUGUAUUUCAAUUUAGUAAAGCCUUGGCUAGGGUAAUCCAUGAGAUAGAUUUGAAAGAUUGAAAUACAAUAUGGAUGAAGCAAUCUCGAUUGAUAGUUAACCUAAGACCAUCCUAGAGCAUUCAGGAUCAAAAGGAUGAAUUAUACAGUAACUGUGAGUAUAGGUUCUGAAAUAUUUUUUUAUAAUAAUUUGAUCUAUCUGGACAUCGAAAACCAUUGCUAGAUGGUAUUUCGAUUAGUGCAGGAAUUGGUUCUUAUGCUACCGAUUUAGUAUUUGAACCUAUGGAAUCAUGCACACAAGUCAGACAAAGUAGGAAGGAAUUGACCUAUGUUUAUAUGUUCAAUCUGAAAGUACUUGACUUGAUUAAAUAUAUAAGCUAACUUGAUUGAGAAUUGAGUUAUGGGUCAAAUAAAAUUGAAAAGUUGACUAUGUCUAGCUAGC